AAACAACCCGAAGUUAGCACGCGGACGGAGCUGUAUCAAAGCAUCCUAAUUUUUGGACAUUUGAUCCACCUAUAUAUUAAACGCGGGAAAUAUAACGCAAUUGAUGUAAACAGUAUAUUGUGACGUCAUAUUCAGCGUCGUUAUUUAGCAAAUUACAAACAAAGCGUUUGAACCACAACAAAAAACAUGGCGUUAAUGGUGGAGUGAUUAUAUAUGAUUAAGAAAAUAAGAUUUACACGCUUUUACGGAUUUUAUGUAUAACAUCUCAGAACGACGUGAACUAGGGUAGACGAGAUUCAAAAUGGAGGAAUACAUGUCCACGCGCUAAUAUUCGAAUCGACGCCAUUGGUACCAAACUUUUCAAGUUCCAUAGGUCCCGUGGGGUUCGGGUUAGUAUAGGUCUUCAGUACCCCCUUGCUUGUCGUAAGAGGCGACUAAAUGGGGGCGUUCCUUCGGAUGAGACCACAAAAAGCGAGGUCCCGUGUCACAGCAGGUGAUCCCUCCCUGCUCAAAAGUCGGAAGCGCAGAGCAUUUGCCUAAAUUUUGCAGCCCUUCACCGGCAAUGAUGACGUCUCCAUAGGAGUGAAAGAUUCUCGAGAGGGACGUUAAACAACAUUCAAUCAAUCAAUCAUUUUCUAAAGAAAAAUAUAUCAUGUUCCGACCUACUUCAUUCAAUAGUUGUAACACGUCGAUCAACUUGAACCAUAACAUAUUCUUGUCCUUUACAGAGAACACUUACUCCAGACUUGAAAUGAAGGAAUCCGUCCGGCACAGGAAUGUUUUGGCAAUUGCACGCCAGCAUGCUCGCGCUUGACAGGAAGUCGGGCUAUCGAGGCAGUCACAAAGCCGCUUCCGAAAGAGUUCCAAAGAAUUGUCACGGAAGAUAGUAUCUACUGUCAGCGUGCAUACGGGUUCAUCUGCAAAAAAAGAGCAAGUAUAUGUACACACGUGACACUAUUGGACAAAAGAAACAAUUAGUUGCUAUGGAAAUGUAAACUACCAUUUGUGACAUUGUUUAAGGAUGCCAGGGAUGGGGCAGCCAAACAUGGAUUGGAAGGAAAGGAAUGAUCUGCAGAAGAGAAUAAUAUAAAGUGUGAAAACGAGAUCUGCUGUCAUACCGAGGAUUAAAUAAGAAUUAUUGUCAGGAAAUGCUUACAUUCAAGAAAAUGUAUCUGUUCUUCACAACUCUUUUGUUUCGACAAUAGGGGUAUUGAAAUCUCGUGACCAUCUGGUUGCCCACGAUCUUAAAUAAUACAAUAAAUUAUACUAUAUAUCUUU